GGUUAAGCGACUAAGCGUACACGGUGGAUGCCCUGGCAGUCAGAGGCGAUGAAGGACGUGCUAAUCUGCGAAAAGCGUCGGUAAGGUGAUAUGAACCGUUAUAACCGGCGAUGUCCGAAUGGGGAAACCCAGUGCAAUUCGUUGCACUAUCGUUAACUGAAUACAUAGGUUAACGAGGCGAACCGGGGGAACUGAAACAUCUAAGUACCCCGAGGAAAAGAAAUCAACCGAGAUUCCCCCAGUAGCGGCGAGCGAACGGGGAGCAGCCCAGAGUCUGAAUCAGCUUGUGUGUUAGUGGAACGGUCUGGAAAGUCCGACGGUACAGGGUGAUAGUCCCGUACACCAAAAUGCACAGGCUGUGAACUCGAAGAGUAGGGCGGGACACGUGGUAUCCUGUCUGAAUAUGGGGGGACCAUCCUCCAAGGCUAAAUACUCCUGACUGACCGAUAGUGAACCAGUACCGUGAGGGAAAGGCGAAAAGAACCCCGGCGAGGGGAGUGAAAAAGAACCUGAAACCGUGUACGUACAAGCAGUGGGAGCACCUUCGGGUGUGACUGCGUACCUUUUGUAUAAUGGGUCAGCGACUUAUAUUCUGUAGCAAGGUUAACCGUAUAGGGGAGCCGCAGGGAAACCGAGUCUUAACUGGGCGUUAAGUUGCAGGGUAUAGACCCGAAACCCGGUGAUCUAGCCAUGGGCAGGUUGAAGGUUGGGUAACACUAACUGGAGGACCGAACCGACUAAUGUUGAAAAAUUAGCGGAUGACUUGUGGCUGGGGGUGAAAGGCCAAUCAAACCGGGAGAUAGCUGGUUCUCCCCGAAAGCUAUUUAGGUAGCGCCUCGUGAACUCAUCUUCGGGGGUAGAGCACUGUUUCGGCUAGGGGGUCAUCCCGACUUACCAACCCGAUGCAAACUACGAAUACCGAAGAAUGUUAUCACGGGAGACACACGGCGGGUGCUAACGUCCGUCGUGAAGAGGGAAACAACCCAGACCGCCAGCUAAGGUCCCAAAGUCAUGGUUAAGUGGGAAACGAUGUGGGAAGGCACAGACAGCCAGGAUGUUGGCUUAGAAGCAGCCAUCAUUUAAAGAAAGCGUAAUAGCUCACUGGUCGAGUCGGCCUGCGCGGAAGAUGUAACGGGGCUAAACCAUGCACCGAAGCUGCGGCAGCGACACUAUGUGUUGUUGGGUAGGGGAGCGUUCUGUAAGCCUGCGAAGGUGUGCUGUGAGGCAUGCUGGAGGUAUCAGAAGUGCGAAUGCUGACAUAAGUAACGAUAAAGCGGGUGAAAAGCCCGCUCGCCGGAAGACCAAGGGUUCCUGUCCAACGUUAAUCGGGGCAGGGUGAGUCGACCCCUAAGGCGAGGCCGAAAGGCGUAGUCGAUGGGAAACAGGUUAAUAUUCCUGUACUUGGUGUUACUGCGAAGGGGGGACGGAGAAGGCUAUGUUAGCCGGGCGACGGUUGUCCCGGUUUAAGCAUGUAGGCUGAUUGUCCAGGCAAAUCCGGAUAAUCAAGGCUGAGGUGUGAUGACGAGGCACUACGGUGCUGAAGUAACAAAUGCCCUGCUUCCAGGAAAAGCCUCUAAGCAUCAGGUAACAUCAAAUCGUACCCCAAACCGACACAGGUGGUCAGGUAGAGAAUACCAAGGCGCUUGAGAGAACUCGGGUGAAGGAACUAGGCAAAAUGGUGCCGUAACUUCGGGAGAAGGCACGCUGGUGUGUAGGUGAAGCCCCUGCGGGUGGAGCUGAGACCAGUCGAAGAUACCAGCUGGCUGCAACUGUUUAUUAAAAACACAGCACUGUGCAAACACGAAAGUGGACGUAUACGGUGUGACGCCUGCCCGGUGCCGGAAGGUUAAUUGAUGGGGUUAUCCGUAAGGAGAAGCUCUUGAUCGAAGCCCCGGUAAACGGCGGCCGUAACUAUAACGGUCCUAAGGUAGCGAAAUUCCUUGUCGGGUAAGUUCCGACCUGCACGAAUGGCGUAAUGAUGGCCAGGCUGUCUCCACCCGAGACUCAGUGAAAUUGAACUCGCUGUGAAGAUGCAGUGUACCCGCGGCAAGACGGAAAGACCCCGUGAACCUUUACUAUAGCUUGACACUGAACAUUGAGCCUUGAUGUGUAGGAUAGGUGGGAGGCUUUGAAGCGUGGACGCCAGUCUGCGUGGAGCCAACCUUGAAAUACCACCCUUUAAUGUUUGAUGUUCUAACGUUGGCCCCUUACCGGGGUUGCGGACAGUGUCUGGUGGGUAGUUUGACUGGGGCGGUCUCCUCCCAAAGCGUAACGGAGGAGCACGAAGGUUAGCUAAUCCUGGUCGGACAUCAGGAGGUUAGUGCAAUGGCAUAAGCUAGCUUGACUGCGAGCGUGACGGCGCGAGCAGGUGCGAAAGCAGGUCAUAGUGAUCCGGUGGUUCUGAAUGGAAGGGCCAUCGCUCAACGGAUAAAAGGUACUCCGGGGAUAACAGGCUGAUACCGCCCAAGAGUUCAUAUCGACGGCGGUGUUUGGCACCUCGAUGUCGGCUCAUCACAUCCUGGGGCUGAAGUAGGUCCCAAGGGUAUGGCUGUUCGCCAUUUAAAGUGGUACGCGAGCUGGGUUUAGAACGUCGUGAGACAGUUCGGUCCCUAUCUGCCGUGGGCGCUGGAGAAUUGAGGGGGGCUGCUCCUAGUACGAGAGGACCGGAGUGGACGCAUCACUGGUGUUCGGGUUGUCAUGCCAAUGGCACUGCCCGGUAGCUAAAUGCGGAAGAGAUAAGUGCUGAAAGCAUCUAAGCACGAAACUUGCCCCGAGAUGAGUUCUCCCUGAGACUUUAAGUCUCCUGAAGGAACGUUGAAGACGACGACGUUGAUAGGCCGGGUGUGUAAGCGCAGCGAUGCGUUGAGCUAACCGGUACUAAUGAACCGUGAGGCUUAACCUU
rnacentral:rRNA from 1 species